rnacentral:rRNA from 1 species
UGAAUACGAGAUGCUACGGCGUCGAAGCAGUCUAUGUCAUACUUCCAAGAAAAGCUUGCACUGUCAUAAACAAAUAAUGCCUGUACCAUAACCGACACAGGUGGGUAGGUAGAGUAUACUAAGGGGCGCGAGAUAACUCUCUCUAAGGAACUCGGCAAAAUGACUCCGUAACUUCGGGAGAAGGAGUGCCUUAUUUAUAAGGUUGCAAUAACAAGAUCCAAGCAACUGUUUACCAAAAACACAGGUCUCCGCUAAGUCGUAAGACGAUGUAUGGGGGCUGACGCCUGCCCAGUGCCAGAAGGUUAAAGAAGUUGGUUAGCAUCCGCGAAGCUGAUAACUGAAGCCCUGGUGAACGGCGGCCGUAACGAUAACGGUCCUAAGGUAGCGAAAUUCCUUGUCGGGUAAGUUCCGACCCGCACGAAAGGCGUAAUGAUUUGGAUACUGUCUCGGAGAGGGGCUCGGUGAAAUAGACUUGUCUGUGAAGAUGCGGACUACCUGCACCAGGACAGAAAGACCCUAUGAAGCUUUACUGUAACCUGAAAUUGAAAUUGGACUUUACUUGCGCAGUAUAGGUGGGAGGCGUUGAGAAUAUUCUUGCGGGAUUAUUGGAGCCAUCAGUGAGAUACCACUCUUGUAAUGUUAGAUUUCUAACUUUGUAUCAUUAUCUGGUCAAAGAACAGUUUCAGGCGGGCAGUUUGACUGGGCGGUCGCCUCCUAAACGGUAACGGAGGCGCACAAAGGUUUCCUCUGAACGGGUAGAAAUCGUAUCUAGAGUGUAAAGGCAUAAGGAAGCUUGACUGUGAGACCUACAAGUCGAGCAGGGACGAAAGUCGGUCUUAGUGAUCUGACGGUGCUGAGUGGAAAGGCCGUCACUCAACGGAUAAAAGUUACUCUAGGAUAACAGGCUGAUCCCCCCCAAGAGUUCACAUCGACGGGGAGGUUUGGCACCUCGAUGUCGGCUCAUCGCAUCCUGGGGCGGUAGUACAUCCCAAGGGUUGGGCUGUUCGCCCAUGAAAGCGGUACGCGAGCUGGGUUCAGAACGUCGUGAGACAGUUCGGUCCAUAUCCGGUGUAGGCGUUAGAAUAUUGAGAGGAGCCUUCUUUAGUACGAGAGGACCGAGAAGGACAUACCUCUGGUGUACCAGUUAUCGUGCCAACGGUAAACGCUGGGUAGCUAUGUGUGGAGUGGAUAACCGCUGAAAGCAUCUAAGUGGGAAGCCCACCUCAAGAUAAGUA